rnacentral:rRNA from 1 species
AGUGGCGCAAGGGUGCGUAACACGUGGGCAACCUGCCCGAAAGUGCGGAAUAGCUCGGCGAAAGUCGAAUUAAUACCGCAUGUAGCCAUUGAGCUAAUGCUCAAAAAGCUAAAAACGGCGCAAGCUGUUGCUUUUGGAUGGGCCCGCGGCCUAUCAGCUAGUUGGUGAGGUAAUGGCUCACCAAGGCUAUGACGGGUAGCUGGUCUGAGAGGACGACCAGCCACACUGGAACUGAGACACGGUCCAGACACCUACGGGUGGCAGCAGUCGAGAAUUUUUCUCAAUGGGCGAAAGCCUGAAGGAGCGACGCCGCGUGAAGGAUGAAGGUCUUCGGAUUGUAAACUUCUGUCAUUAAGGAACAAACCUUCCGUAUAACUAGCGGAAGACUGAUAGUACUUGAAGAGGAAGGGACGGCUAACUCUGUGCCAGCAGCCGCGGUAAUACAGAGGUCUCAACCGUUGUUCGGAUUUAUUGGGCGUAAAGGGUGCGUAGGUGGUCGUGUAAGUCGGGUGUGAAAUCCUAGGGCUCAACCCUGGAACUGCACUCGAUACUGCAUGGCUUGAGCGCUGGAAAGGAGACUGGAAUUUACGGUGUAGCAGUGAAAUGCGUAGAUAUCGUAAGGAAGACCAGUGGCGAAAGCGAGUCUCUGGACAGAUGCUGACACUGAGGCACGAAGGCCAGGGGAGCAAACGGGAUUAGAUACCCCGGUAGUCCUGGCAGUAAACGGUGCACGUUUGGUGUAGGCGGAUUCGACCCCGUCUGCGCCGUAGCUAACGCGUUAAACGUGCCGCCUGGGAAGUACGGUCGCAAGAUUAAAACUCAAAGAAAUUGACGGGGGCCCGCACAAGCGGUGGAGUAUGUGGCUUAAUUCGAUACAACGCGAAGAACCUUACCAGGGUUUGACAUGCACUGUGUCGGGGAUGAAAGUUCCCUAGCUGUAGCAAUACAGCGCUUUGCACAGGUGCUGCAUGGCUGUCGUCAGCUCGUGUCGUGAGAUGUUGGGUUAAGUCCCGCAACGAGCGCAACCCCUAUGUCCUGUUGCCACCGGCGCAAGCCGAGCACUCUGGACAGACUGCCCUGUGGAACGGGGAGGAAGGUGGGGAUGACGUCAAGUCAGCAUGGCCCUUACACCCUGGGCUGCACACGUACUACAAUGCUCGGUACAAUACGAGCCAAGGUCGCGAGGCCAAGGAAAUCUAUAAAACUGAGCCCAAUUCGGAUCGCAGGCUGCAACUCGCCUGCGUGAAGCCGGAAUCGCUAGUAAUGGCGCAUCAGCUACGGCGCCGUGAAUACGUUCCCGGGCCUUGUACACACCGCCCGUCACAUCAUGGAAGUCGUUUGCACCCGAAGUGCACUAUGUGCCCUACGGUAUGAGCGGUAACUGGGAUGAAGUCGGAACAAGGUA